AUGGGUACUGCUCUGUGCCUGGCACUGGCGGUGCUGCUACUGCUGCUCGCUAAUGAUCCGGUGUUGGUGGCCGCGGACGACGGCGUCGACGAGCAGCUGCUGGAGCGGUUCAAGGCGGCGGUACGGAACGGCGGGGAGCUGGGGGGAUGGACCCGUGGCGACGGCGCGUGCAGUUUCCCUGGUGCCGCGUGCGUCAGGGGAGGGAAGAGGCUCGUGUCGCUGUCCCUCUCAGGGGUCCCACUCGACGUCGAUUUCAGCGCCGUCGCCGGCACACUGCUGCAGCUGGGUGGUAUCGAGGUCCUCAGCCUGCGGGCCGCCAACGUGAGCGGCUCGCUCGCAAGCGGCGGGGGCGCCGCCGGGAGAUGGAGGUGCGGCCAAAAGCUGGUCGGGCUUGACCUGUCCGGCAACAGGGCGCUAAGAGGAUCCGUCGCUGACGCCCGCGUGCUCGCCGGCGCGUGCGACGGGCUGAGGGAGCUGAACCUUUCUGGUAACGCACUCGUUGCCGGUGGUGGCGGGAAGGGAGACGGCGGGGACAUUUUUGCCCGCCUGGAUGUCCUUGACCUGUCGGACAACAACAUCACCGGCCACGGCGAUCUCAGCUGGAUGGGGGGAGUCCGUCGGCUGAACCUCGCCUGGAACUCGAUCUCCGGGCCACUCCAGGUCCCGGCAUUCACCAACUGUUCCAGGAUGGAGUCACUUGAUCUAUCCGGUAAUUCAAUCUCCGGCGAGGUGCUGCCCGGGGUCUUGUCCGGCUGCACUGCUCUUGUUUCGCUCAACCUCUCCAGCAACCACUUGAAGGGCGCUUUUCCGCCGGACAUCACGCUGCUCGCGUCGCUCUCCUACCUCAACCUAUCGAACAACAACUUCUCUGGUGAGCUCCCUGGCGACGAACUCGCUGGGCUCCCACGGCUCUCGUGGCUCACUCUAUCACUCAACCACUUCCAUGGCUCCAUGCCUGACUCUCUAGGUCGGCUUGCCAAUCUGAGAAUGCUGGACUUAAGCUCGAACGAGCUCUCCGGCGCUAUACCAUCCUCACUCUGCCCGAAUACCGGCUCCAAGUCCAAGCUCGAGGUGCUCUACCUGCAGAACAACUACCUUACCGGCGGCAUCCCGGCGACAAUCUCCAACUGUGAAAGCCUCGAGUCUCUAGACCUCAGUCUCAACUACAUCAAUGGCUCCAUCCCCACAUCCGUCGGCAGCCUUGCUCGUCUCCGUGACCUCAUCCUGUGGGAGAACAAAUUGGAGGGUGAGAUUCCAGUGUCGCUCGGUGGUGCUCGCGGACUCGAGCACCUCAUCCUCGAGUACAACACGCUCACUGGCAGCGUCCCGUCCGAAUUGAUGAACUGCAAGAAUCUGAAAUGGAUGGCGCUCGGGAGCAACCGGCUCUCUGGGUCGGUGCCGGCUUGGCUGGGGCGGCUAGACAACCUUGCAAUCUUGAAGCUCAACAACAACUCCUUCUCAGGGCAGAUACCGCCGGAGCUAGGAGACUGCAAGAGUUUAAUUUGGCUCGAUCUGAACGACAACCAGCUAAGCGGAUCGAUACCACCGGAGCUGGCGAGGCAGUCCGGGAAGGUGGCUAUCGGCUUCACGAUAGUUCGGCCACAUAUAUACUUGCGCAACGGCGAGCAGAGCAGCAAAUGUCGCGGCGCGGGGAGCCUGCUUGAGAUCGGCGGCGUCCGUUUGGAGCAACUAAACCGGAUGGCUAGCAAGAAUAGGUGCAACUUCACACGGGUAUACAUCCUGGCUAGCGGAGAGCACACUUUGAAAAGCAAUGGCUCCAUGAUAUUCUUGGACCUGUCCUUUAACAAGCUUGACUCCGAGAUCCCCAAGGAACUUGGUAAGAUGAACUAUCUAGCUAUCAUGAAUCUUCGGCAAAAUCAACUUUCUGGUGCCAUCCCAGCAGAGCUUGCAGGUUCCAAGAAUUUAGGUAUGCUUGACCUGUCACACAACAAGUUGGAAGGCCCAAUCCCCAGUUCAUUUUCGUUGCUAUCAUUGUCGGAGAUUGAUCUAUCAUACAACAGGCUGAAUGGAUCAAUACCGGAGAUGGGAUCCCUUGCCACUUUCCAGGAGAGCCAAUAUGCAAACAACUCUGGCUUGUGCGGCUUCCCUCUGCCUCCAUGCCAACCAUUUUUGAAACCCCAAGGUAGUGCUUCAGUAGUAAGUACCACUUCCAGUAAUAAGUACAACCUUCUAAUAAUCCUACUCUCAGCUGUCACGCUAGCUUUUGUCAUUAUUGUAAUUUUAUUGUACUGCAUAUCGUGGAUAAAUAAAGUCGACAACGGCAAGACCAAAUCUUCCAAUGACCUGACAGCUCCAGCAAGCCAUCAGUUAGUCUCACACCUAGAGCUUGUUCGUGCCACUGGUAAUUUCAGUGAAGAUUACAUGUUGGGAUAUGGAAGCCACGGAAAGGUAUUCAAGGGACAACUGAGCGAUGGUUUGACGGUUGCAAUAAAGGUUCUUGACAUGCGGUCCAUGUGUGCCAUUAGAAGCUUCGAGGCCGAGUGCCGUGUGCUCCGCAUGGCGCGGCAUCGCAACCUGAUACGGAUAAUCACCACAUGUUCUAACAUGGAUUUCAGAGCGUUGGUGCUACAAUACAUGCCAAAUGGCAAUUUAGAGACAUUGCUUCACUGCUCACAACAGGGCGGAACACAAUUUGGGUUCCACGAGAGACUGUGUGUUAUGCUUGAGGUGUCAAUGGCAAUGGAAUAUCUACACCAUGGUUACCAUGAAAUCGUCUUGCACCGCGACUUGAAGCCAAGCAAUGUGUUAUUUGACGAGGACAUGAUGGCGCAUGUGGCAGAUUUUGGCAUUGCAAGACUAAUACAAGCUGAUGAUAACUCUGCGUUCUCCAUUAACAUGCAUGGCACUAUUGGGUACAUGUCACCAGAGUAUGGGUCAUACGGGAAAGCUUCACGAAAGAGCGAUGUGUUCAGCUACGGCAUCAUGCUCCUUGAAGUCUUUACUGGCAAGAGGCCAACGGAUGCUAUGUUUGUUGGAGAACUGAGCCUUAGACGAUGGGUUCAUCAAUUGUUUCAAGCAGAUCAACUUGUUCAUGUCGUGGAUAGACGGCUAUUGCAAUGCUUUGACAUGGACAUUAGCUUUCUUGCGCCAAUACUAGAGGUUGGUUUGCUUUGCUCCAGUGACUCACCUGGAGAUAGGAUAACUAUGAGCGAGGUAGUCUUAAGGAUGAAGAACGUCAAAACAGAGUACAUCAAAUAUAUAUCGUCUACAUUAGGAAGUGUGUCACAAUGA
rnacentral:rRNA from 1 species